rnacentral:rRNA from 1 species
UAGGGAAUCUUCCACAAUGGACGCAAGUCUGAUGGAGCAACGCCGCGUGAGUGAAGAAGGUUUUCGGACCGUAAAGCUCUGUUGUUGGUGAAGAAGGAUAGAGGUAGUAACUGGCCUUUAUUUGACGGUAAUCAACCAGAAAGUCACGGCUAACUACGUGCCAGCAGCCGCGGUAAUCGUAGGUGGCAAGCGUUGUCCGGAUUUAUUGGGCGUAAAGCGAGCGCAGGCGGAAGAAUAAGUCUGAUGUGAAAGCCCUCGGCUUAACCGAGGAAUUGCAUCGGAAACUGUUUUCUUGAGUGCAGAAGAGGAGAGUAGAACUCCAUGUGUAGCGGUGGAAUGCGUAGAUAUAUGGAAGAAUACCAGUGGCGAAGGCGGCUCUCUGGUCUGCAACUGACGCUGAGGCUCGAAAGCAUGGUAGCGAACAGGAUUAGAUACCCUUGGUA